UUCAAAAGUAUAUCACUUUUAUAUUUGCAAUGUGAAAGUGAUUAUAAAUAGUUGGCAGACAAUAUAGUGCAUGUUCCCAUUGUCAAACACAACCUUUUACAUGGUACAUUGACAAGUUGAUAAAAAGUAAAUAAAAAAAUGGUGGACAAUAGUUGUCUAGAUGAGAGGUGCAUAAGUUGAAGUCUCGGGCUUCUCUAGAUAUUCAUUCUCUUCCAUCUCAUAUUCAAAUUUGGGAUCAAACUGUCAAAGUGCUCUUAGAAAAGAUUGAGGGAAUAUGUCCAUAGCUACCGAUCAUAUUCAUCUGCCUUGUAUCCACACGUGUUCUAUUCUCUUCUUUAGCAAACAUCUCAUUAUCAAACUUCCAUGAAAGUAUAUAUAAUAAUCUCAACUGACUGAUUGUAUAUCAUUUCUUGCACACAAAACUUGUGCACAAGUGCCUGCAUAAUGGUGCAAGAAGAAAAGUCAUUACAUUGUUACUUGUUAGAUCAAAAAGCUAGAUAAGUCUUUUGCAAAAGAAGAAAAGACAGAACAUUGUUACUUGUCCUAGUCCACAACAUUGAUAUAUAAUUGAAUAUAUUGCUAAUUAUAGU
rnacentral:lncRNA from 1 species